GAUGAAGAACUUAGCGAAAUGCGAUACGUAAUGUGAAUUGCAAAUUCAGUGAAUCAUCGAGUCUUUGAACGCACAUUGCGCCCCCUGGUAUUCCGGGGGGCAUGCCUGUCCGAGCGUCAUUGCUGCCCUCAAGCACGGCUUGUGUGUUGGGCCCCGUCCUCCGAUUCCGGGGGACGGGCCCGAAAGGCAGCGGCGGCACCGCGUCCGGUCCUCGAGCGUAUGGGGCUUUGUCACCCGCUCUGUAGGCCCGGCCGGCGCUUGCCGAUCAACCCAAAUUUUUAUCCAGGUUGACCUCGGAUCAGGUAGGGAUACCCGCUGAACUUAAGCAUAUCAAUAAGCGGAGGA
rnacentral:misc_RNA from 1 species